rnacentral:ncRNA from 1 species
CCGGGCGUUCCGUCGCCCGUAGUCUAUCGGUGCAUGCGGAGCUGGUAACGGAUCCGUGUGAAGCAACCGAGACAAUGUAGCCCGGCGCAAGCCGUGCCGAGGUCGUGAGAUCGAGGCUGCUCUGCAAGUGUCAAGGCAUGCACAC